rnacentral:rRNA from 1 species
GACGAACGCUGGCGGCGUGCCUAAUACAUGCAAGUCGAGCGGACGGAUGGGAGCUUGCUUCCAGUCCUUCAGCGGCGGACGGGUGAGUAACCCGUUGGCAACCUUCCUUUAAGACUGGGAUAACUCCGGGAAACCGGGGCUAAUCCCGGAUAACUCUUUUCCUCCCAUGAGGGCAAGCUGAAAGAUCGCUUUUCGCUAUCCCUUACAGUUGAGCCCGCGUCGCAUUAGCUAGUUGGUGAGGUAACGGCUCACCAAGGCGACGAUGCGUAGCCGACCUGAGAGGGUGAUCGGCCACACUGGAACUGAGACACGGCCCAGACUCCUACGGGAGGCAGCAGUAGGGAAUCUUCCGCAAUGGGCGAAAGUCUGACGGAGCAACGCCGCGUGAGUGAUGAAGGUUUUCGGAUCGUAAAACUCUGUUGUCAGGGAAGAACAAGUAUCGGAGUAACUGCGGGUACCUUGACGGUACCUGAUCAGAAAGCCACGGCUAACUACGUG